GCUUAUGUAGCUUAUCGAUAAAGCAAAGCACUGAAAAUGCUUAGAUGGAUAUUAUUAUCCCAUAAACA
rnacentral:tRNA from 1 species